rnacentral:rRNA from 1 species
UGGGGAAUAUUGCGCAAUGGGGGCAACCCUGACGCAGCAAUACCGCGUGAGUGAAGAAGGUUUUCGGAUCGUAAAGCUCUGUUAUUGGGGAAGAAGAAGUGACGGUACCCAAUGAGGAAGUCCCGGCUAAUUACGUGCCAGCAGCCGCGGUAAUACGUAAGGGACGAGCGUUGUCCGGAAUCACUGGGCGUAAAGGGCGCGUAGGCGGUUUUAUAAGUCAGAUGUGAAAGGUACCGGCUCAACCGGUGACGUGCAUUUGAAACUGUAAGACUUGAGUACUGAAGAGGCAAGCGGAAUUCCUAGUGUAGCGGUGAAAUGCGUAGAUAUUAGGAAGAACACCGGUGGCGAAGGCGGCUUGCUGGGCAGAUACUGACGCUGAGGUGCGAAAGCAUGGGGAGCGAACAGG